rnacentral:lncRNA from 1 species
CUAGUUUCUAGCCUCUAUCUAACAACUAUCUGACUUGGGUUUAGAAAUUUUCUUGUAACUUCUCUCAAAUCACUAAUUCUCCAUCAACAUCCCCAUUUAGGGAAUCCUGCCUAACCAAGUCCCAAGGAGGCCAUGUGGUUGUAAAGAGUCUCCUCACAGAUGCUGUGCUCCCUGACUGUCAUCCAAAUAAACUUGAGGACAAGAAGGAAAAAUGCUAUGCAAAGCCAGAAGAGGUGGCCAGACCCCAGGAAUUUAGAAGGCAGAGAAGUCUUCCAGCAUUACACCGACCUCAUUUGUCAUCAUCAUCAUUAUCACCCAAAUCCUCCAGUGUUCUCCAUAUCAAAUCUUCAGAUGAAAGAAGCUGAGCCCAGAGAGCUUAAGGAACUUUUCCAAAGUCAAUGAAUAUGAAAUGGCAGAGCCAAGAAUCAAACCCAGGUCUUCCGAGCUCAAAGCCAGUGUUGCUUCUCUCUACCAUUCAGUGCUACGUAAGGAAAGUGUUUAGUAAUUCUUC